rnacentral:rRNA from 1 species
UGAGUACGAGAUGCUACGGCAUCGAAGCAGUCUAUGUCAUACUUCCAAGAAAAGCUUGCACUGUCAUAAACAAAGAAUGCCUGUACCAUAACCGACACAGGUGGGUAGGUAGAGUAUACUAAGGGGCGCGAGAUAACUCUCUCUAAGGAACUCGGCAAAAUGACUCCGUAACUUCGGGAGAAGGAGUGCCUUAUUUCUAAGGUUGCAAUAACAAGAUCCAAGCAACUGUUUACCAAAAACACAGGUCUCCGCUAAGUCGUAAGACGAUGUAUGGGGGCUGACGCCUGCCCAGUGCCAGAAGGUUAAAGAAGUUGGUUAGCAUUAGCGAAGCUGAUAACUGAAGCCCUGGUGAACGGCGGCCGUAACAAUAACGGUCCUAAGGUAGCGAAAUUCCUUGUCGGGUAAGUUCCGACCCGCACGAAAGGCGUAAUGAUUUGGAUACUGUCUCGGAGAGGGGCUCGGUGAAGUAGACUUGUCUGUGAAGAUGCGGACUACCUGCACCUGGACAGAAAGACCCUAUGAAGCUUUACUGUAACUUGAGAUUGAAAUUGGACUUUAUUUGCGCAGUAUAGGUGGGAGGCGUUGAGAAUAAUCUUGCGGGAUUGUUGGAGCCAUCAGUGAGAUACCACUCUUGUAAUGUUAGAUUUCUAACUUUGUAUCAUUAUCUGGUCAAAGAACAGUUUCAGGCGGGCAGUUUGACUGGGGCGGUCGCCUCCCAAAGGGUAACGGAGGCGCACAAAGGUUUCCUCUGAACGGGUAGAAAUCGUAUCUAGAGUGUAAAGGCAUAAGGAAGCUUGACUGUGAGACCUACAAGUCGAGCAGGGACGAAAGUCGGUCUUAGUGAUCUGACGGUGCUGAGUGGAAAGGCCGUCACUCAACGGAUAAAAGUUACUCUAAGGAUAACAGGCUGAUCUCCCCCAAGAGUUCACAUCGACGGGGAGGUUUGGCACCUCGAUGUCGGCUCAUCGCAUCCUGGGGCGGUAGUCCGUCCCAAGGGUUGGGCUGUUCGCCCAUGAAAGCGGUACGCGAGCUGGGUUCAGAACGUCGUGAGACAGUUCGGUCCAUAUCCGGUGUAGGCGUUAGAAUAUUGAGAGGAGCCUUCUCUAGUACGAGAGGACCGAGAAGGACAUACCUCUGGUGUACCAGUUAUCGUGCCAACGGUAAACGCUGGGUAGCUAUGUAUGGAGUGGAUAACCGCUGAAAGCAUCUAAGUGGGAAGCCCACCUCAAGAUAAGUAUUCUCA